UUUCCGUAGGUGAACCUGCGGAAGGAUCAUUGCUGGAACGCGCUUCGGCGCACCCAGAAACCCUUUGUGAACUUAUACCUAUUGUUGCCUCGGCGCAGGCCGGCCUCUUCACUGAGGCCCCCUGGAGACAGGGAGCAGCCCGCCGGCGGCCAACCAAACUCUUGUUUCUACAGUGAAUCUCUGAGUAAAAAACAUAAAUGAAUCAAAACUUUCAACAACGGAUCUCUUGGUUCUGGCAUCGAUGAAGAACGCAGC
rnacentral:misc_RNA from 1 species